GACGAACGCUGGCGGCGUGCUUAACACAUGCAAGUCGAACGGAAAGGCCCUGCUUUUGUGGGGUGCUCGAGUGGCGAACGGGUGAGUAACACGUGAGUAACCUGCCCUUGACUUUGGGAUAACUUCAGGAAACUGGGGCUAAUACCGGAUAGGAGCUCCUGCUGCAUGGUGGGGGUUGGAAAGUUUCGGCGGUUGGGGAUGGACUCGCGGCUUAUCAGCUUGUUGGUGGGGUAGUGGCUUACCAAGGCUUUGACGGGUAGCCGGCCUGAGAGGGUGACCGGCCACAUUGGGACUGAGAUACGGCCCAGACUCCUACGGGAGGCAGCAGUGGGGAAUAUUGCACAAUGGGCGGAGGCCUGAUGCAGCAACGCCGCGUGCGGGAUGACGGCCUUCGGGUUGUAAACCGCUUUCGCCUGGGACGAAGCGUGAGUGACGGUAAUGGGUAAAGAAGCACCGGCUAACUACGUG
rnacentral:rRNA from 1 species